rnacentral:rRNA from 1 species
UACGAAGGGGGCUAGCGUUGCUCGGAUUGACUGGGCGUAAAGGGCGCGUAGGCGGUUCGUACAGUCAGACGUGAAAUUCCUGGGCUCAACCUGGGGGCUGCGUUUGAUACGUGCCGGACUUGAGUGCGGAAGAGGGGUCGUGGAAAUUCCCCAGUGUAGAGGUGAAAUUCGUAGAUAUUGGGAAGAACACCGGUGGCGAAGGCGGCGACCUGGUCCGAUACUGACGCUGAGGCGCGAAAGCGUGGGGAGCAAACAGG